GGAUCACGGGGCGCGCGGACAGGAGCGUCCCUCAGGGAAACGCCCGUCCCCUCAUGGAUACCCUCACAGUUGCUGCUGCGGCAGAUGAGCCUCUGCUUCUCGCCGUGCAGGGCGUGUGUGCCGAGUGGUAAUGCGAGUGCAGGGGUCCUGCUGCAAGUGACCACAGGUGAAUUGGAGAUUGGAAAACUGGCCUCUGCAGUGGUGGCAUGAAAAUGUUCAGGAAGAACACUGAAAAGAUAGGUGAAGGAAGAGCAGAAGGCUAUAAGGAUUUGCAAAACCUGACUUUAACUAAAGGAGCCUGUUUGUAUUAAGUAUUACUCUCACAGAAUACAUAGACAAUUGGAACUAAAGAUGAACUCAAAUCUUA
rnacentral:lncRNA from 12 species